GGCAGAACUCAACAGAUAGCAUUAACAGCACCCAUGCAAAUCCUAUGUAAAAAUUUUGAAUCAUGCUAUGGCACUUGGAGAACGUUUAACAAAACAUAAAUUGUUAAAAUAGGCUCCCUUGUAUAUAUUUGGUUGAAACUACUUAAAAGGAACCAAUGUUUGGCAAUUUUCAUUCACAAUAUCUCCCUAUCAGUGGUAGCUUUC
rnacentral:misc_RNA from 1 species